rnacentral:rRNA from 1 species
CCUACGGGAGGCAGCAGUCGGGAAUCUUGCACAAUGGGCGAAAGCCUGAUGCAGCAACACCGUGUGAGCGAUGAAGGCCUUAGGGUCGUAAAGCUCUGUUGUUAGGGACGAAGGGCGAAGGGUUAAUAGCCCUUAGCCUGACGGUACCUUUCGAGGAAGCCCCGGCUAACUACGUGCCAGCAGCCGCGGUAAUACGUAGGGGGCGAGCGUUGUCCGGAAUUAUUGGGCGUAAAGAGCGUGUAGGCGGCUUGGUAAGUCUGCUGUGAAACCUUGGGGCUCAACCCCAAGCGUGCAGUGGAUACUGUCAAGCUAGAGGAUGGUAGAGGCCAGUGGAAUUCCCGGUGUAGCGGUGAAAUGCGCAGAUAUCGGGAGGAACACCAGUAGCGAAGGCGGCUGGCUGGGCCAUUCCUGACGCUGAGACGCGAAAGCUAGGGGAGCGAACAGGAUUAGAUACCCUGGUAGUCCUAGCCGUAAACGAUGAACACUAGGUGUGGGGGGAGUCGAAUCCCUCCGUGCCGAAGCCAACGCGUUAAGUGUUCCGCCUGGGGAGUACGGCCGCAAGGCUAAAACUCAAAUGAAUUGACGGGG